rnacentral:lncRNA from 1 species
UUAAAGCCUUUUUCCUCCUUAUUAAGGGUUUAUGGUGAAAAGGUUGCAGAAGUCCCUCUUGUUGCUACACGUUUUCUAUAUCGUCGACGUGGAAUGUGUCGCAUUCUAAUGAAUGAGCUUGAAAAGGUAAUCCAAUCUUAGCACCUUGUUCUUUGUCCAUAUCUUAUAUCUAUUUAAUUUCUGGCUGUUGAGGAAGGAGGGAGGGAGAUGAUUGAGUGUUUGUGUUCUAGUAACCAAGAGUCACUUCAUUGCUGUCCCUUCAAAACUUGUAAUUAUGAGACCCUUUGGUUUCUCUGACUUGUGAAAUAUUAUCCCCAAGCAUGUGCCUCACCUAAACAGCCAAUUACACUUUUAAUAUUGUCCAAAUAAUUUCAUUUUAUCACUAUAUAUUUAUAUAUAUUUAUCUUGUGUUACGAAAAGUGCUGGGGGG